UAAACCCUGAGGUUACUAUUCCACAGUGUAAACCCCAGGGUUACUAUUCCACAGUGUAAACCCAGAGGUUACUAAUCCCCCCUGUAAACCCAGAGGUUACUAUUCCACAGUGUAAACCCUGAGGUUACUAAUCCCCCCUGUAAACCCAGAGGUUACUAUUCCAUACUGUAAACCCUGAGGUUACUAUUCCACACUGUAAACCCAGAGGUUACUAAUCCCCCCUGUAAACCCUGAGGUUACUAUUCCCCCUGUAAACCCUGAGGUUACUAUUCCACACUGUAAACCCCGAGGUUACUAUUCCACACUGUAAACCCUGAGGUUGCUAUUCCCCCUGUAAACCCUGAGGUUACUAUUCCACUCUGUAAACCCUGAGGUUACUAUUCCACUCUGUAAACCCUGAGGUUACUAUUCCCCCUGUAAACCCUGAGGUUACUAUUCCACACUGUAAACCCUGAGGUUACUAUUCCACACUGUAAACCCUGAGGUUACUAUUCCACACUGUAAACCCUGGGAUUGCUAUUCUACACUGUAAACCCUGAGGUUACUAUUCCACAGUGUAAACCCAGAGGUUACUAUUCCCCUUGUAAACCCUGAGGUUACUAUUCCACAGUGUAAACCCUGAGGUUACUAAUCCCCCCUGUAAACCCUGAGGUUACUAUUCCACAGUGUAAACCCUGAGGUUACUAAUCCCCCCUGUAAACCCUGAGGUUACUAUUCCACAGUGUAAACCCUGAGGUUACUAAUCCCCCCUGUAAACCCUGAGGUUACUAUUCCCCC